AUGCAAGUCGAACGAGGUGCUUUUGUAGCAAUACGAGAGUAUCCUAGUGGCGAACGGGUGAGUAACGCGUUGGUGACCUACCCCAAAGUGUGGGAUAACAGUCCGAAAGGAUUGCUAAUACCGCAUGUGGUUUUCGGAAUUAGAAACCGAUUUCUAAAGGAGCAAUUCGCUUUGGGAGGGACCUGCGUCCCAUCAGCUAGUUGGUGAGGUAAUGGCUCACCAAGGCGACGACGGGUAGGGGACCUGAGAGGGUGACCCCCCACAAUGGAACUGAAACACGGUCCAUACACCUACGGGUGGCAGCAGUAGGGAAUAUUGCACAAUGGGCGAAAGCCUGAUGCAGCAACGCCGCGUGUGCGAUGAAGGCCUUCGGGUCGUAAAGCACUUUUCUGAGAGAUGAGCAAGGACAGUAUCUCAGGAAUAAGUCUCGGCUAACUACGUGCCAGCAGCCGCGGUAAAACGUAGGAGGCAAGCGUUAUCCGGAUUCACUGGGCGUAAAGCGCGUGCAGGCGGUUCGGUAAGUUGGGCGUGAAAUCUCCUGCUUAACUAGGAGAGGUCGUUCAAUACUACC
rnacentral:rRNA from 1 species